rnacentral:rRNA from 1 species
CCCGCACAAGCGGUGGAGCAUGUGGUUUAAUUCGAUGCGACGCGAAGAACCUUACCUGGUCUUGACAUCCACAGAACUUUCCAGAGAUGGAUUGGUGCCUUCGGGAACUGUGAGACAGGUGCUGCAUGGCUGUCGUCAGCUCGUGUUGUGAAAUGUUGGGUUAAGUCCCGCAACGAGCGCAACCCUUAUCCUUUGUUGCCAGCGGUCCGGCCGGGAACUCAAAGGAGACUGCCAGUGAUAAACUGGAGGAAGGUGGGGAUGACGUCAAGUCAUCAUGGCCCUUACGACCAGGGCUACACACGUGCUACAAUGGCGCAUACAAAGAGAAGCGACCUCGCGAGAGCAAGCGGACCUCAUAAAGUGCGUCGUAGUCCGGAUUGGAGUCUGCAACUCGACUCCAUGAAGUCGGAAUCGCUAGUAAUCGUGGAUCAGAAUGCCACGGUGAAUACGUUCCCGGGCCUU